rnacentral:lncRNA from 10 species
AUAAAGUCCGCAUGUUUAUAUCUCCUCCUCCCUAAAUUUCCACAGAAACAAAAGAGACAAGAACAAUCUACAGGUCAUUAGAAAACAAAAAGAGUGCAAACAGGAAAAAUAAUAUUUGGGGAACUUCCACAUAGUAGAAAGACGAUGGAUGUGGACAACUGGGUGUGAAUAGGCAACGGACUCCCACAAUGAGAAUGCAGACAAACCAGCCCCAGCACAAUAGCAGCUACGAGGAUGUAGACAAAGCGGCCAGGACAACAGCGGCAGAAGGGGUGAGUGAAGUGAGAAGUGCUCUGCCCUUCCAGCGCUUUUUCCUUGCCCCUCUCAGGAUUGCCCUUUCUAACCCAAUCAAGGGAAGAUGCUGAGUCAUGGCAGAACCUGAAUCGCAGCAUUUGCAGAGAGGAGCACAGAGCAGUGGACCUGGACCAUACACGAAGUGGACGCCAAGCCUAAUCAGAAAGAGUUUGCUCUACUUUCACGACCUUGGGUCUUCAAGAAGUACAUCUCCCUGUGUGAAGAGGGCUUUCAAUCCCUUGUCAUCACCAGAGUUUGGAACCAGUUAUAUUUCACCUGGCCCCAGAGGUACCUAUGUUAAUUAAGACAACAGCAGCUGCUAAGCAGCUCACCCAUGAAACUUCAGUGGUCUAACUCAUUAAAAGUUUCUCACCCAGGUAAAGUCCAAAAGGAAUGUUGCCGGUCAUUGAGUGACGUUGCUUGAAGUGAUACUUUAUAAAUCAAGAUUCCUUCCAUUCUAUGUCACUUUCAGUUACCACCCACAGUUUCAGAAUUCACCUGGGAAGGUAAAAGAACACGAAUAAUUGCCCAGGGGAUGCUUGGAUGGGCCAGGCCCAGAAGUGGCGCAUGGUAAUUUCACUUGCAUUCUAUUGGCUAGAGAGCAGUCAUAAUGACCAGACCCAACUGCAAGGGAUUCUGGGAGAUGUAGUCCGACUGCCCAGGAAGAGGGAGCCAACACAAGGCAGUCUCAGAAGAAGUCACAGGGUCACUUUGGUAUAAUUUUCCCUAGUAAAUUUUUCUGAGGCCACUAUGGAUAUCCUGGACUUCUGUGCAGAAAAAAUGUGUAAAAGUACUUCCAUAAUGCCUUUCCAGAACCUGCCAGUGAUGUUAUUUAAAAUUAAUUUGAGAGACCAGGGGAAUAUAUCAGUAAACCAUUUUAAUUGUGUAGUACUUCAGAACUUUCAAAAUGAUUUCUCAUUCUUUCAUUUGAUUUUCUUAGUGCUCUUCUCUCAGUGUCUAUAAGCUUCAGUCGGGAAAUAUUAGCUGAUUUCCCAUUUUGCCAGGCUCUGGUCUGAGCGCUAGGGCUGUAGUGGUGAACAGAAAAAAGACCCCUGCACUCAUUUUUCCUGUAUCCAAGGAAAAGCAGCUUAUAUUUGCAAGUUUCAGGGGCUAAGAGUCCCGAAAAACAAAACUAGGAUGAAAUGACGGAGGAUAAGGCCACAUGGGGUAAAGUAUGUGUUUAAAUGUUCUUGGGAUUUUGUUUUAAUCAGUGUGGCAAGAUGACAGACAUGGAGACAACUGCCUUGAAAAAAGAGUUUAUACUCACAGUUCCCUACAGGAGGGGGAUACCAUGCCCUGCAGUGCCACAUGGGGAAGCACCAGGGUUGGCCAGGAGGCAGUGCAAGCAAGGAGAAAGCAUGGGCAAGAGCCAUUAUUUUAGAUUUCACAGGAAAGAAUGAGGGGGGCAGACCGGGCAGGCAGUGCAAGUUUAGGAUUGGAUACUUUGGCUAAUUUCAGUGGGCUUUUGACUAUAGCAACAGUCCUGAGUUGUCUGGUACCUGGCCCUGGGAUGAUUUAGGGCAGGAGGAAUAUUGGCUUGGUGUGUGAGUGAGAUAAAGGAAGGUGUUGAGGCGUGGGCUUUGGAUUGGUUGGUUUGCAUGUGAAAGGCAUGCUUAACAUGGUGAAACCCCAUCACUACUAAAAACACAAAAAUUAGCCAGGCAUGGUGGCACAUGCCUGUAAUUCCAGCUACUUGGGAGUCUGAGGCGCGAGACUCACUUGAAUCCAGGAGGUGGAGGUUGCAGUGAGCCGAGAUCAAGAUUGUGCCACUUGCAAUCCAGCGUGGGCAACAGAGCAAGACUCCAUCUGAAAGAAAGGAAAAGAAAAGAGAAAAGAGGAAAGGAAAGGAAUGGAAUGGAAUGAAAAGGAAAGGAAAAGAAAAGAAAAAAAAAGAAAAGAAAAGAAAAGAAAAGAAAAGAAAAGAAAAGAAAAGAAAAGGAAAGGAAAGGAAAGACAAGAAAAGGGCAUUCUUGCAGGCAAGUUGUUUCCUAUCCCUAGGAGCCAGCCCUGGAGGGGCAGUUUCUCCAGGAUGAGCAAAGCCCCAAGAUGUCAAAACAUCAUAAAGCACAGAAAAUAAAAACAUGAUUAAUACAAUGCAGCAGUGGGCACAUAAAUUUAGAAUGGAGGGUCAGCAAAGGCUUUCCUGAAGAGUUGAUAUUGGAGAUGAGAUCAGAAUUACAUGAAGAUGCCAGCCACACAAAGAUCCAGAGGGAGAGCACAUCAGGCAAAAGCACAAGGCAAGCACAAGCUUAGGCCAGUCCAAGAGGAUGGAAAGGGCCAGCAUGGCUGGAGUAGGGAGAUAAGGUAGUAGAAGAUGAGGCCAGAUAGGCAGGACUCUGGAGGCCAUGGCAGGACUUUGGAUUUCAUUAGGACUGCAAUAGGAAGCUAUUAAAGGGUAUUGCACAGAGCAAUGUCAUCUGAUUUGCAUUUUUAAAAAGUCACUGACUGGUGAGGAGAACAUAUUGCAUGCGGGCACCAGUGGGAAGCAGUGAGAUGAGUCAACCGGGGGGUGCACUAAAGCAUGACUUGAGAAGUACACAGAUGGAAGGAACUUAUCUGUAGAGGAGACUUUGGGCUUGGGAUUUGGAACUUUUUGAGUUAAUGCUGGAAUGAGUUAAGACUUUAGGGAACUGUUGGGUAAGCAUAAUUGUAUUUUUCAAUGUGAGAGGGACAUGAGAUUUGGCAGGAGCCAGAAGCAGAAGGAUAUAGUUUGGAUAUUUGUCCCUACCCAAAUCUUAUGUAGAAUUUUAAUCCCUAAUGCUGGAGGUGGGGCCUAGUGAGAGAUGUUUUGGUCAUGGGGGUGGAUCCCUCAUGGCUUUUUGUUGUCUUCAUGAUAGUGAGUGAGUUCUUGUGAGACCUGAUCAUUUAAAAGUGUGUGGCACCUCCCCCCACCACCACUCCCUGCAUUCUCUUUCUUGUUUGUUUUCACCAUGUGAUGUGCCUGCUCCCACUUCGCCUUCUGCCAUGAUUGUAAGCUUCCUGAGGCCCGCCACCGCCCCCCAGGAAGCUAAGCAGAUGUUGGCACCAUGCUCCUUGUAAAACCUGCAGAACUGUGAGCCAAUUAAACCUCUCUUCUUUAUAAAUUACCCAGUCUCAGAUAUUUCUUUACAGCAAUGCAAGAA